AAGUUUCUCCUCCUCUCACAGCUUCACAUGGAGUUGUUCACUGGAAGAGAAGAACAACACGCAGGGCACUGUUGGAGUCAUGGAUCUCAUCACUGUUCAGGGGACUGAUCCAUUUUUCCCACUCCCUUGGUUCUGCAGUAACAGGAAAUGACUCAAAACUUGUGUCAACAGACGUCACUGGAACUGUGACUCUGGCUCGCCACCGACAAGUCAAGUUAAACAGAGAGCAGUGUUUUCCAGUGAUUCAUCCAGGAGCUGUUUCACCACCACCCACCGUUUUACAGCUGGACGUAGCUCCUUAAUUUCCUUUGUACACUUCGUUACGGGACCCUGCCGUCCAUCAGCAGCAGCUACAGAAACC